CCUACGGGAGGCUGCAGUGAGGAAUAUUGGUCAAUGGACGCAAGUCUGAACCAGCCAUGCCGCGUGCAGGAAGACGGCUCUAUGAGUUGUAAACUGCUUUUGUACGAGGGUAAACGCAGAUACGCGUAUCUGUCUGAAAGUAUCGUACGAAUAAGGAUCGGCUAACUCCGUGCCAGCAGCCGCGGUAAUACGGAGGAUUCAAGCGUUAUCCGGAUUUAUUGGGUUUAAAGGGUGCGUAGGCGGUCGGAUAAGUUAGCGGUGAAAUCCCGAGGCUCAACUUCGGAAUUGCCUCGGAUACGGGUCGGCUAGAGAGUAGUGGGGGUAGGCGGAAGGUAUGGGGUAGGGGGGAAAUG
rnacentral:rRNA from 1 species